rnacentral:tRNA from 1 species
CGCGGGAUGGAGCAGUUGGUAGCUCGUCGGGCUCAUAACCCGGAGGUCGUUGGUUCGAGUCCAACUCCCGCAACCA